rnacentral:rRNA from 1 species
UACAGAGGGUGCAAGCGUUAAUCGGAGUUACUGGGCGUAAAGGGCGCGUAGGCGGUUAUUUAAGUUAGAUGUGAAAUCCCUGGGCUUAACCUAGGAACUGCAUCUAAUACUGAGUAGCUAGAGUACUGUAGAGGAUAGUGGAAUUUCCGGUGUAGCGGUGAAAUGCGUAGAGAUCGGAAGGAACACCAGUGGCGAAGGCGGAUCUCUGGGCCAUUACUGACGCUGAGGAGCGAAAGCGUGGGGAGCGAACAGG